UACGGAGGGAGCUAGCGUUGUUCGGAAUUACUGGGCGUAAAGCGCGCGUAGGCGGCUUUGUAAGUUAGAGGUGAAAGCCCGGGGCUCAACCCCGGAAUUGCCUUUAAGACUGCAUCGCUUGAAUCCGGGAGAGGUGAGUGGAAUUCCGAGUGUAGAGGUGAAAUUCGUAGAUAUUCGGAAGAACACCAGUGGCGAAGGCGGCUCACUGGACCGGUAUUGACGCUGAGGUGCGAAAGCGUGGGGAGCAAACAGGA
rnacentral:rRNA from 1 species